AGAGCGAACGCUGGCGGCAGGCCUAACACAUGCAAGUCGAGCGCCCGUAGCAAUACGGGAGCGGCAGACGGGGUAGUAACACGUGGGAACGCGCCCUUCGGUUCGGAAUAACUCAGGGAAACUUGAGCUAAUACCGGAUACGCCCUUACGGGGAAAGAUUUAUUGCCGAAGGAACGGCCCGCGUCCGAUUAGCUAGUUGGUGAGGUAAUGGCUCACCAAGGCGACGAUCGGUAGCUGGUCUGAGAGGAUGACCAGCAUCACUGGGACUGAGACACGGCCCAGACUCCUACGGGAGGCAGCAGUGGGGAAUAUUGGACAAUGGGCGCAAGCCUGAUCCAGCCAUGCCGCGUGGAUGAUGAAGGCCUUAGGGUUGUAAAGUCCUUUUAACGGGAAGAUAAUGACGGUACCCGUAGAAUAGCCCCGGCUAACUUCGUGCCAGCAGCCGC
rnacentral:rRNA from 1 species